rnacentral:lncRNA from 1 species
GGAAUUCCAAAAUAUGAGUGGUGGUCUGAGGCUUUACAUGGGAUUUCAUACACUGGUCCUGGAGUUAAAUUUAACGGUGUAGUUCCUGGUGCCACUAGCUUCCCUCAACCUAUUCUCACUUCUGCUUCUUUCAAUGAGACUUUGUUUGAAACCAUUGGAAAGGUAAUAUCUUUUGCUUAUUCUUUCACCUUUUUUCAUCAUUAUUUCUUGUUAUUAUUAGAUUGCUAUCUUAGUGUUUAUCUUUUACCCUCAACCUAUUCUUACUUCUGCUUCUUUUAAUGAGACUUUGUUUGAAACCAUUGGAAAGGUAAUAUCUUUUGCUUAUUCUUUCACCUUUUUUCAUCAUUAUUUCUUGUUAUUAUUAGAUUGCUAUCUUAGUGUUUAUCUUUUAAAUUAGUUCCUAAUUUUUCAGCAUACUAGUUUCAGUGAUUAUGCGCGGUCAUUUUUAAUUAUUUUUUAGUUGAUCCGAUAGUGUAAAACUUUUUUUCUUCUUGAAGAUUGAAUUAUUAGCCAUUUCGUAAAUAAUGCUUGAUUGGUGAUUUGUUGUUCAUUGGAAAACAAAUAACCUAUUAACUUCUAACA